rnacentral:lncRNA from 1 species
GGAACAAGUUGGAUUGCUCCGAAUUUCAGUGCCUAUCGGGCAGCCAGUGAACAUUUGUCCAUCUUUAAGGCAUUAAACUGAGAAGAACCACUGAGGAAAGCAUGCCACAGUCUUUCCCAAAAUCCCUGUGUCUUAAGGAACAACCAAGAAGUUAACUGGUCAGGGAAAAGAUUUCUUUUGGAACACAGGUAAGCAAAACCAAGACGCCAUCGGAGACACCCUUGCCUGCAACGGUUGUGGUAUAAAGCAAGAGAAUGAUGGGAGUUGUGAUCCAUACCUCCGUGUGCAUAAUGGUUGUACCUGCUCCAGGAAGGCGCUGGAUCCUCCCAACUCCAUGGCCUGUUCCAGCCACCGUGUCAACAUGCCUUGG